GGCCGGAUGGCCUAAUCGGUUAAGGCGUCGCCCUGGACAGGCGAAGGUUGCGGGUUCAAUCCCUGUUCCUGGCCC
rnacentral:tRNA from 1 species